rnacentral:rRNA from 1 species
UACGAAGGGGGCUAGCGUUGCUCGGAAUCACUGGGCGUAAAGGGUGCGUAGGCGGGUCUUUAAGUCAGGGGUGAAAUCCUGGAGCUCAACUCCAGAACUGCCUUUGAUACUGAAGAUCUUGAGUUCGGAAGAGGUGAGUGGAACUGCGGGUGUAGAGGUGAAAUUCGUAGAUAUUCGCAAGAACACCAGUGGCGAAGGCGGCUCACUGGCCCGAUACUGACGCUGAUGCACGAAAGCGUGGGGAGCAAACAGG